UCAAGAAUAUCUGGGUAGAUUUAAUGAUAUGUCCUUUAGAGGUGCCUUUUGAGAUACAGUGCAUGGUUCUAUCUUUUGUGCAUUGACCCUAUUUGCGGUAAUUAAUUUUUGAUUCUGUUCUAAAUGGCAAGGUCGGGUAGACUUGCAGCCUCAAGGUGUGGAGGUACCUCACAGCCUUGUUGACAAGGGCAUGCAAAGGCAAGAUCAAGAUUAUGCCAGACGAUAAAGUUAUUUGGCUGAAUCCUCUUAUAUGAAGCAAGUGCACUGUGCAGAUUACAUAUACGUUUUGGACAUGGAGCCACAUUCAUUGCCAAUAAGAUCAUUUUCUGCAUGGUUGAUCUCCUCAUUCUUUUUGCUCAGACAUGGGCUUGCGCUCUGUGGGUGGCUUGCUUCAGCUAAGAACUGCAGAGGAGUUAUGCUUGUCUAAAGAUUCUAGAAAGUUUCAUGAGAUGAUGUGCAAUGAAAAAACACAUGUGUAGCUGCGGCACUUUGAACCAUGCUAUUAUGGUGCUUCACCUUCGCCUUCCCUUUAUAUGUUUGUAUCCAUUUUUGCACUGGACAUUGUCUACCAAUUGUUACUGGAGCAUCGCCGCUUCCGCUGUUUAACGAAUGGGCAUGGACGGGAAGCUGCUAUCAGUCAAUAUAGCACCUGUGUUGCCCUGGGCCAAGCUCAAGGGCUGGGACAGAGUUGAAGUGCUGUUUUCUCUAUAUAUUACCCAUGGUAAUUUAUCAUG